UCUACAGGUCAAUCUCGUAUGGAUGCAUGGUCAACGGCAAGGUGGAGCACAACACGAACAUGUCCUUCACACUUGACGACGGCACCGGCCGCACCGAUUUCAUUAGAUGAUAAUGCAGAUGAUUUUGUUAAUUUAUGUGAUCUUCUACAACCUUUCCUUCCGCAACCUCAGUAUUGGCGCCCGCCUCUUCCUCGGUUUAGGAUGAUCUGAAGCACCUAGAAGAAGUAGAGGACAAGUUGGGAAGAGGGUACAAGAAGCUACGUUUAAGAUUGAUGUUAUGUGUGAUCAAUAAAAACUUGUGUUUCUCAUCCAAUCUUUGUCGAACUAUGUUGAUGUGUGAUUAUGCACUUGUUGGGCCCUUUUACUAUAGACCUGCACUUGUAGAACUAUUUUGUUGUGCACUUGUUGGUCCUUAAAUCUUUAGGUGUAGAGGAGUCAAUAGAUGAUGUAUUGUAAUUCAUGUGAUGUGCUAUUGAAAUGAAAUAUAUAGAACUAAUUUGCAAUCUUUUAUU